rnacentral:tRNA from 1 species
CUCCUCCUGGUGGAGGACCACCUCACCUCUCUGGUGGAUGUGUCCGGCUUCGGCUCGGCACCGUGGGAGGAAGCC